UAAACAUAAUAAACAUAAACAUAAACAUAAUCAUAAACAUAAACAUAACAAUAACAAUAACAAUAACAAUAAUAACAACAAGGAUAAGUAGUAUGAAACCCUUAUUUCUUGCUUGUAGCCGUCACUCCCUCACUUCUUUUCCUUCCCUCUCCUCUUCUCUUCCUUCACCUCUGUGACCCGCCACAGCCACCAAGGGGCAGCCGGCAGCCUACACAGCUACCCAGCAGCAGCAGUCGCAGCCUCCACGCACACACCAAGCCCAGCAGCAGCAGCCCCGCUACAUCCACCUACAAAACAGCAGCAACUGCUGCAUUUUCGUGCACCACCACCAGCAGCUACGGCUAUCUGCACUACCACCAAGGCCCACCGCGGUGUCUUGACCCUCCUGUGCAACCACCACUACAUCAAACACUUAUCAUCUCACCCCUCUUUUCUAAUUGCCCCAUUGUGUCCACUUCAUAAGAGGAAAGUAGAACCUUAGUCGGGUGAUUUUUGUAACUUGUGGUCGUGCAGUGACGCUUGCAGUCAUUAUGUUGAGCAGCAGGAGGAUCAUAGCUUGACAUGACAGGUAUAGGAGCUUCUUUUGCUUUGCAUGGGGGAAAGAGCGAAGUACGGUCGUAACAUUUGUGUACAAGUUGCCUAAUGCUUGUAGCUUCUAUAUUACUUCUAAAGUUUUCUUUUGGGAUUGUAUAAUUUCUUACGUAUGGAGCCAUGUGACUCCUUGUAUGAUCCAUAGUUCCUCUGCGUAGUUUUUGGAUGUAUAGUAGUGAGAAUACUCCUUUGGUAUCAGUCAAAUCGAUGCGUUAACACUGGAACCACGAUCCUCAUUAGAGUUGAUGAUUUGAGAAGCCGACGAUGAUUCAUUCCAUCGUGACGUAUUUUGAAAGGCAUUAAAAGCUUUAGAUUAGUUUAGUUAUGUUAAUCAUUUAUAUAUCCUUGUCACAC